UACAGAGGUGGCAAGCGUUGUUCGGAAUUACUGGGCGUAAAGGGCGCGUAGGCGGUUCGUUAAGUCCUGUGUGAAAUCCCCCCGGCUCAACUGGGGAACUGCACAGGAAACUAGCGGGCUUGAGUUCGGGAGAGGGAAGCGGAAUUCCGGGUGUAGCGGUGAAAUGCGUAGAUAUCCGGAGGAACACCGGUGGCGAAGGCGGCUUGCCUGGACCGACAC
rnacentral:rRNA from 1 species